rnacentral:lncRNA from 1 species
UAGGAAUGGUUGGUUUAGUUUCGUGAAAUAUUUGAAGUGAAUUGAAACACAUAUUAUCACGACCCAAACUGAUGGGCCGCGACGGGCGUCUGGUACCUUACUCAACCGAGUACCAACAUAACAUAUCUUUCAUAUCAUUCUAUCAUAGGUAAAUGAACCGGAGUAAAGCAUGAGCGAAUACAAACUUAUAUAUUAGACAUACUGGCCUAUAAGACCAAAAUGAUCACUUGUACACUAAACAUGGGCUGACAAGGCCAUACAAUCUUUCACAAACAUGACAUCUGUCUACAAGCCUCUAAGAAUACAUAAUUUUCAUAAAGGCCGGAACAGAGUCCCGCCUUACCAAACAAUACACGUCUCAAUCAUACUAACCAAUCAAGCAACUCCAAAGUAAAUGGAGCGCAACAACAUCUUCCGCUGAGCUGAUAGCCUACUUCCAGGGCUCUCGACCUGUCGAUCGGGACCUGCGGGCAUGAAACGCAACGUACCCAGGAAAAAAGGGACGUCAGUACGAGUAAUGUACCGAGUAUGUAAGGCACAUAUAUAAGUACAUAUAGACAUGGAAGGAAUACGGAGUAAAUGACUCAACCUGUAAGUCUGGAUAACUUUGUAAAUCAUGAAAUACUUAUAUUGUCAUGCAUAUGCGUAUGAAUGUCAUGUCGUGUAUAGGUACAUGUGUUCAUAACAUCAUCAAUCCUCUGAGGGCAUCUCAUCAUAUCAUCUCGGCCAUUGUGGACAAAUCAUCAACGUAUACCAGCUGAUCAGGUGGUGUUGCGUGUAUAACGUCGUAACCUUUUUCCAUAUCCCAUAUAAUAUAUGUGUGUGUGUGUGUUUAUAUAAUGCCUUCUGAAUCAUGGGUCAAUAUACAUAUAUAAAUGCAUGAAAUACAUAAGAAAUACGUUAAUAAGAUUUUCUCGGAAUGCCAUAAAACUCAAUAUGCCUUUCGGAUAAACUUUAUCAAAUACGUAUUUUUUUCUGAGACCCAUAAACAGAAGAUAAUAAUAAUUCAUAUAGGGAAUCAAGAAUAUAGACACCCCUAGUAUUUCUUGAAUAGAGUCAUUUGUGAAGGUUGCGUAUUUUGCUCGUUUUAUUUGUAUUAUUUGGAUCAUGCCAAAAAGAAAGAAGGGAUAGCCUUAACAUACCUGGAAUAGGAAAAAAUCCGUAUGAUGUUAUUAUCCCACUUUGACGAGUACAAGAAUAUUGAAUCUUUAUACGCUUCUCGCUCUUUACUAAACUUAACUUUUGCCUCUUGUUCCGUUUUUGGAUCUAAUAUUGAGUUCAACAAUGCCUCUGCAGCUAUUAAACAUUGGUUCCUCCUUUUACUUUGCAUAGACGAGGCAAUUUCUCUUUUGAAAGUUCUUGAAUUUUUCUGGAAACUCAUUUAAACGUAGGAAUUCCAUAUGUUCUUUGCAAAUGAGUUAUCUGUAGAACUUUGAGAUCCUAUAGAACUAGUUAAAUGAACUCCCUCAUGCAAUUAACGGAUUUGGAACUAAAACUCGUUUUUGUAAUACUAAAAUAUGGACAAACUACUCAUAGUCCUCCCGAUUGUC